GAGCCCUGGAGCACCCCUGAAGAUGAAGUCUGUUCUCGCCCUCGCCAUGGUUGGCUCUGCCGCCGCCUACGUCC
rnacentral:ribozyme from 1 species